ACUAGGCGAGCGAUCAGACAAAUAACGCAGCUAUUUCAGAGAACGAACGAAGCCACUGCCGAGAGCAGGGUGUGAGGGGUAAGGGGUGGCGGAAAAACUCUCGUGCCGCGCAGGCGCGAGGGGACGAAAACUAUGCACUGCGCAUGCCUCACAGGGUCGGAGGAGGAGGGACGUAUCACUGCGCACGCGCAGAAAUGAAACUGCAGCUUACCGCGCAUGCGAGCGAAGAUUGCCUCGAACAACGGCGUUCAGGUGCAUGCGUAGUUUGCAUACGGGAUUCGGAGGCGGCUACUGCGCAAGCGAGGAGGGAAAUAAACAAACCCCUAACUUGCCAAAAGGGGACACACUUAUUCCAAGAUGAAAGCAGGAACUGUGAAGCAAACGGCCUUGAGCAUGAAGAACUGGCUGCAUGAGCAAGAUGCAUGCAUCUUAAGAUGGUGUCCACUGUUCAAACACACAGCAAGAGAAAGUUUGCAGGAAAGCUUGCAGACCAUUUUUGCCUGGAACCUGUCAAGAAUGGAGGAAGGUGCUGGACCAAGAAAUAUUUUUACUCUCUAGCCUACAGCCUAGUCUAGAGUGGCAGUAACCAGGGUCCUUUUGGAUCAACUCUGCAACUCCUGUUUCAACAGGCUUUGGGCAUUCUAUGUUGGCUUGAAGUGUACAGUUACAGGAUGAUGAACUGGCCAACUCUGGGGUGAAGUAUGGGGUUCCCCUCUCCAUGAAGGGUGUGUAUAGGGAAGCAGUAAGCAGGAGGCCAAGAAUGCAAUUCUCUGCACUAAAAGAAUUGUCAGGUACCAGUCUGAAGCAGGUGCUUAACAGGCUAACUCCAUCAACAUCUGCCAGAUGCUAG